UGGGGAAUAUUGCACAAUGGGCGCAAGCCUGAUGCAGCCAUGCCGCGUGUGUGAAGAAGGCCUUCGGGUUGUAAAGCACUUUCAGCGAGGAGGAAGGUGGUGAACUUAAUACGCUCAUCAAUUGACGUUACUCGCAGAAGAAGCACCGGCUAACUCCGUGCCAGCAGCCGCGGUAAUACGGAGGGUGCAAGCGUUAAUCGGAAUUACUGGGCGUAAAGCGCACGCAGGCGGUUUGUUAAGUCAGAUGUGAAAUCCCCGGGCUCAACCUGGGAACUGCAUUUGAAACUGGCAAGCUAGAGUCUCGUAGAGGGGGGUAGAAAUUCCAGGUGUAGCGGUGAAAUGCGUAGAGAUCUGGAGGAAUACCGGUGGCGAAGGCGGCCCCCUGGACGAAGGCUGACGCUCAGGUGCGAAAGCGUGGGGCAGCAAACAGGAUUAGAUACCCUGGUAGUCACGCUGUAAACGAUGUCGAUUUGGAGGUUGUGCCCUUGAGGCGUGGCUUCCGGAGCUAACGCGUUAAAUCGACCGCCUGGGGAGUACGGCCGCAAGGUUAAAACUCAAAUGAAUUG
rnacentral:rRNA from 1 species